rnacentral:lncRNA from 1 species
GGCGCUGCGCUACGUGCGCCCGCGCCGCCCGCGCCGCGCCUCGCCGCGCGCCCUGCACCAGAUCGUCGACUACGUGGCCGCAGCUUGGGAGGACGCGAUACGCGGCGGCAGCAAGGUGCACUACUUCAGCGAGUGUGCGGCGCGCAACAACUAAUCGACUGCUGACGACGACGGCCACCGUUGACUUUCAAAGUGAACUAUUGAGUGAGUUUCGAUAUACAAUGUAAGUGAAGCUACGUUAAAUAUGUGAGUGUAAUGUGGUUGCUGGUGCAGUCAGUGCGGAGACGAGAGAUAGACUCCCGAGGUAAAAUGUGACACCUGUCAAACUAUAAUAUGGUUGUACGGUGUCGUGCUCGUAUGUUUCGAUUCAAUGCAUAUGGAGACUAUAGCGUUGAUGCUGAAAUUGAUUACUUUUACGCUUUGUAUAUAAGAUAAAUGGUCUAGAGCAUUUAACUCUUAUUAAAAAAAGAUUCAGUAACAAAAAAAAA